UGAAUCAACAAGUGAAUGAUGCGGAAAAGAUGAUGAAUACAUGCUCAAAAAUUGAUGAAAUACAGACUUAUCAACUCCCCCAAACUUAGUCUUUGCUUGCCCUCAAGCAAAGCAAAAAGAAACAAAGUGGAAGAGAGGUUUGAAAAUGGGGUCUUAGAAACUGUAACUUGCAAAAUAGAGCAGUUAAAAUCAAUGCCCUGGUUUCUAUGUCUUUGAUGCAUGCUGAGAGAACUUUACUUAAAGACUUUAGACAAACUCAUCAAAUCCGAAACUGAUCCUAUCCCUUG
rnacentral:lncRNA from 1 species